rnacentral:rRNA from 1 species
GACGAACGCUGGCGGCGUGCUUAACGCAUGCAAGUCGAACGAAGAGCGAUGGAAGCUUGCUUCUAUCAAUCUUAGUGGCGAACGGGUGAGUAACGCGUAAUCAACCUGCCCUUCAGAGGGGGACAACAGUUGGAAACGACUGCUAAUACCGCAUACGAUCUAACCUCGGCAUCGAGGAAAGAUGAAAGGUGGCCUCUAUGUAUAAGCUAUCACUGAAGGAGGGGAUUGCGUCUGAUUAGCUAGUUGGAGGGGUAACGGCCCACCAAGGCGAUGAUCAGUAGCCGGUCUGAGAGGAUGAACGGCCACAUUGGGACUGAGACACGGCCCAGACUCCUACGGGAGGCAGCAGUGGGGAAUCUUCCGCAAUGGACGAAAGUCUGACGGAGCAACGCCGCGUGAGUGAUGACGGCCUUCGGGUUGUAAAGCUCUGUUAAUCGGGACGAAAGGCCUUCUUGCGAAUAGUGAGAAGGAUUGACGGUACCGGAAUAGAAAGCCACGGCUAACUACGUG